AUAUUUUAUUAAAUAAAAUGCUUUUCAUGUUUACAAACAAAUUUAAAAUGAAAACCUGAAACGUCUUAAGUCAGUAAGUAUUCAACCCCUUUGUUAUGGCAACGAGAGCCUGUAGUCAGAUGCGUCUGUGAAACAGGUGGCCAGGUGUCCGUUAACAGGCUGGAAACAGGUGGCCAGGUGUCCGUUAACAGGCUGGAAACAGGUGGCCAGGUGACCAGGUGUCCCGUUAACAGGCUGGAAACAGGUGACCAGGUGUCCCGUUAACAGGCUGGAAACAGGCUGGAAACAGGUGACCAGGUGUCCGUUAACAGGCUGGAAACAGGUGGCCAGGUGUCCGUUAACAGGCUGGAAACAGGUGACCAGGUGUCCGUUAACAGGCUGGAAACAGGUGGCCAGGUGUCCGUUAACAGGCUGGAAACAGGUGACCAGGUGUCCGUUAACAGGUGGCCAGGUAUCCGUUAACAGGCUGGAAACAGGUGACCAGGUGUCCGUUAACAGACUGGAAACAGGUGGCCAGGUGUCCAUUAACAGACUGGAAACAGGUGGCCAGGUGUCCAUUAACAGACUGGAAACAGGUGGCCAGGUGUCCCGUUAACAGGCUGGAAACAGGUGACCAGGUGACCAGGUGUCCGUUAACAGGCUGGAAACAGGUGACCAGGUGUCCCG